GGCAAAUCGAAAAUCGAAGAACACCCACCAACUGUUUGAGGAAAUGUUCAGAAGAAACAACAAAGGGCAAGAUUGGUUUCAUCACUAGAUCAUUCAAUUUUCAGUUUUUUUUUUGGUUGAAUCAGAGCUGAUUUGGAUAAGUAUAGAUAGUUUUUUUUGGGUGUUUGUGAUUGGGGUAAUUUAGAAAGGAGUAAAUUGGUUGGGAAGGAUGCGAGGACGAUGUGGAAGGAGAUCGGAGACAGAGAAUUUGGCAAGCUUCGCCCUAAUUUAUUCAGCAAUCGUAUUAAGUCGGCUAGAAUCGCUUCUAUUCAACUCUCCAACUACAAAGAUAUCAUUUCUCCUCACCGUGGCUCCGUCAACUCCCUUCAGGUUGAUUUGACAGAGGGACGAUAUCUGUUAUCCUCUGCUUCGGAUGCAUCAGUUGCUGUUUAUGAUGUCCAACGUGCAACUGAUUACGAUGAGAGUGGUCUGAUUGCAAAGCAUAAACACAUACUUUUGGUUGACAAGCAAC
rnacentral:misc_RNA from 1 species